rnacentral:rRNA from 1 species
UUUUCAAAUGCUAAGUGCAGGGGAGGUAAUUAAAAAAGUUUAUUUAGGAAGCUGUAUUCUUCUCAAAAAAGGUUUUAAAAAGGAGGUCUUUUUAACCCGGGGAAAGGGGUUCGGCUUUUCCCCAGUCCAAAAUUACCCAAAUUUCCCCCGUUAGAAUUGGGACAAAAUUUCAAAUUCCAAAGGGGCAAUAUUCACUUCAGACCAGAAAAGAUCAAAGCCAUUGUAAGCCAUUCCUCAAGGGGGGGGUAAUUUAAACCUCCGCCCCACUUAAAGCGAUAAAUUUUUCACCCUCGGGGAUUAUACAAAUAUAAACCACCAUUUUAAAGGGCAUUCCGUAAUACUAGGUAGAUCUUUACGCAUUACUCACAGUAGUGAAUUCAAUUAUUUAAGCCUCUGGCUAUAGGAAAUUGUUAGUGGCAGACGGGUGAGUAAUGCGUAGGAAUCUACCUAGUAGUACGGAAUAGCCAUUAGAAAUGGUGGGUAAUACUGUAUAAUCCCCGAGGGGGAAAGAUUUAUCGCUAUUAGAUGGGCCUACGUUAGAUUAGCUAGUUGGUGAGGUAAUGGCUUACCAAGGCUAUGAUCUAUAGCUGGUCUGAGAGGACGAUCAGCCACACUGGAACUGAGAUACGGUCCAGACUCCUACGGGAGGCAGCAGUGGGGAAUAUUGGACAAUGGGCGAAAGCCUGAUCCAGCUAUGCCGCGUGAGUGAAGAAGGCCUUCGGGUGUAACUAACUGC